UUAACUCAAAUUUGUAUGCAGUUGGAACAGCGCCCCUAGCGGCAAACGUAGGCAAACGUUCCAACUGCAUACAAAUUUGAGUUA
rnacentral:pre_miRNA from 1 species